rnacentral:rRNA from 1 species
GACGAACGCUGGCGGCGUGCUUAACACAUGCAAGUCGAACGGAAAGGCCCUGCUUUUGUGGGGUGCUCGAUUGGCGAACGGGUGAGUAACACGUGAGUAACCUGCCCUUGACUUUGGGAUAACUUCAGGAAACUGGGGCUAAUACCGGAUAGGAGCUCCUGCUGCAUGGUGGGGGUUGGAAAGUUUCGGCGGUUGGGGAUGGACUCGCGGCUUAUCAGCUUGUUGGUGGGGUAGUGGCUUACCAAGGCUUUGACGGGUAGCCGGCAUGAGAGGGUGACCGGCGACAUUGCGACUGCGAUACGGACCAGACUCCUACGGGAGGCAGCAGUGGGGAAUAUUGCACAAUGGGCGGAAGCCUGAUGCAGCAACGCCGCGUGCGGGAUGACGGCCUUCGGGUUGUAAACCGCUUUCGCCUGUGACGAAGCGUGAGUGACGGUAAUGGGUAAAGAAGCACCGGCUAACUACGUG